ACACAUCGGGACCAGAUCCACUGAAGACCACCUCAGCCGAUGGACGAUCAAAAAGAAGCUCAGGAACCAGUGCAGUCGAGGACGACAAAUAAAACCAAAAACAGAGAAAUACAUAACAAGAAAUACAAAUAAAUGAAACAUGACGGUGCUCCCCCGGUCACAGGUCUCCAACAGAAUACAUCCCGCACGACCACCUCCCCCGAUAUGGCUAGGUGGUCAAGAGAGUACGGGGCCUUUCUUUCGAGUCUCGUCACACAUGCGCAGGUGCACACUGAUUAACCAAUGCUCAAACCAAUUCGAUUGCAAACACGUUGCCACCGGCUCAGCCUCUGGUUUGUCGAGUGUUGUACGAUUUACAGUUCGGGCAUUUCCGGGCCAUAAACAUGGUACUGCACUUGUGAGAUUUUCCC
rnacentral:lncRNA from 1 species